GAAAUGACUGACGGGGGUGAGGGGGAAGGAAGGGAACGGUGGAUAGGAUGAAAACAAAAAGUAAAUAAAAGAAAAAGGAAAGGACAGUCUAAUGCUUUGUCGGGAUUCACCAAAACGCCAUAGUUCCUCGUCCUCUCACGUCCACUCCAGGUGGGAAAUCCCACGUAUGUAUAGCUGGUCGACGAACCUUUGCUCUUCUUGCGUGCGUUUCUUUUUAUAACUUUUGACGGCGUCGAACUGGCGACGCACCAGGAAACAAGCCCCACACGCACGUGUCACUGUACAGCUAGUAAUUGGGUGUGGACAAAGCUGUCACAAAUCCCAACCUGCAGGUGUCGCAGUGCUUGAGGCACUAGCAGCAGAGGGAAAUCGCAGUCACAAUUAGAGACACAGACAGGAAUCAGGCUGACCAGGACACCAACCAACGUAGCACCAUUAAACCAACGAUGAGAUGUAUGAAGAAUCCAUGUGUCUUUGCUGGUUGACUGGCACUCGUGGAAUUGAAGGGGCGUACAGGCACUACUUGGUUGUUGUUGAGUCGACACACUGUGUACUGAGACCUUGAAAGCCCAAAAUCAACAAGGUUACAGUUUAAAAGAGGAUGUCAAUACAAAUGAAGUAUAAUGGCA